rnacentral:rRNA from 1 species
GACGAACCGUGCAAACGUUAUUCGGAAUCACUGGGCAUAAAGGGCGCGUAGGCGGCUCCAAAAGUCAGGGGUGAAAUCCGGCAGCUUAACUGUCGCAGUGCCUUUGAUACUGUGGAGCUAGAGGGAGGUAGGGGUCUGUGGAACUUCCGGUGGAGCGGUGAAAUGCGCAGAUAUCAGGAAGAACACCCGUGGCGAAGGCGGAUCUCUGGGCCUUACCUGACGCUCAGGCGCGAAAGCUAGGGGAGCGAACUGG